UACGGGGGGGGCAAGCGUUGUUCGGAAUUACUGGGCGUAAAGGGCUCGUAGGUUGCCAACUAAGUCAGACGUGAAAUCCCUCAGCUUAACUGGGGAACUGCGUCUGAUACUGGAUGGCUUGAGUUUGGGAGAGGGAUGCGGAAUUCCAGGUGUAGCGGUGAAAUGCGUAGAUAUCUGGAGGAACACCGGUGGCGAAGGCGGCAUCCUGGACCAACACUGACACUGAGGAGCGAAAGCCAGGGGAGCAAACGGA
rnacentral:rRNA from 1 species